rnacentral:rRNA from 1 species
UACGUAGGGGGGCAAGCGUUGUCCGGAUUUAUUGGGCGUAAAGAGCGUGUAGGCGGCCUGACAGGUCUGCUGUGAAAAACUCGAGGCUCAACCUCGAGAUGUCGGCGGAAACCGUCUGGCUAGAGUCCGGAAGAGGAGAGUGGAAUUCCUGGUGUAGCGGUGAAAUGCGCAGAUAUCAGGAGGAACACCAAUGGCGAAGGCAGCUCGCUGGGACGGUACUGACGCUGAGGCACGAAAGUGUGGGGAGUCAAACAGG